ACCAGGAUGGCUAGGUGGUUAUGGUGUUGGACUUAAGAUCCAAAGGACAUGUGUCCACCUGGGUUUGAACCCCACUUCUGGUA
rnacentral:tRNA from 1 species